GGGGAUGCAAUGGUUUCGACGGGGAUCAUGAAGUAUGAUAAGCGAGUAGAGGAGCGCACACUCUUAAAACGGCGCACGUUUUAAAAUUAGACGACAAAGAUAAUUUUGAAUUAGCAGCUGCUUAAUUGCUGCUCGUCUUGCCUUUGAGUACCACGGCUCAGGCAAAGGCGUCGACUAGUGGUGAACGUUGAAAAGUGACGGCUGUAACUUUUCAAUGUAUUUCAGUCUACUGAAUAUAAAGGCGUGUCUGUUUGCCUUUAUAUAAGGGAAUGGGUCUUUCCGAAAUAACAGAAUAUACUCGUAGAAAUUCAUAGGGAUUGAUUUUCGGACAGGAGUUCGAUUCUCCUCAUCUCCACCA
rnacentral:sRNA from 1 species